rnacentral:rRNA from 1 species
UGAGGAAUAUUGGACAAUGGGCGAAAGCCUGAUCCAGCCACGCCGCGUGCAGGAUGAAGUCCCUCUGGGGCGUAAACUGCUUUUAUAUGGGAAUAAAAAGAUGGUCGCCAUUAUUGAAGGUACCAUAUGAAUAAGCACCGGCUAACUACGUGCCAGCAGCCGCGGUAAUACGUAGGGUGCAAGCGUUGUCCGGAAUCAUUGGGUGUAAAGGGUGCGUAGGCGGAUUGGUAAGUCAGAGGUGAAAGCCCGUAGCUUAACUACGGAACUGCCUUUGAUACUGCCAGUCUUGAGUCCUGGAGAGGUUACUGGAAUUCGUGGUGUAGCAGUGAAAUGCGUAGAUAUCACGAGGAAUACCCGAAGCGUAGGCGAGUAACUGGACAGGUACUGACGCUCAGGCACG